UAAGGCAGCGCUGAGUCAAAAUCCAUCAACCCAGCAGCAUACAUCGGUUGACUCAGCGCCUGGGUUGUGCUUCGAACGUCAUCACGUCAUCACGUCGAGAGACGUGCUUCACCGUGAAUCCACACACCGCGCCAGGCUCUGAGCACCGCGCGCUCACCUGACUGACCAUCCUCGUGGCGGCAAAUCAAUACUAAAAGAUCAAUUGACAGCUUUGUCAUCCUCACGUUGACAGAGUGGCGGCUGACAGACCUUGUAGAAAGAUUUAAAGAGGAGGGGAUUGAUGAGGAGCGUUUUCUUCUUUUAGAUGAGGCUGCCAUCAACCAGUUGAUCCCAAGAGCUGGCCUUAGGCUCAGGUUUUUCAAGAAGUUAGUCAAGAUCAAUAGAGAUCCUGGAACAAACAUGGUGGAGUACCUCCAUGACCAUACCCCCACGUCCUGAUACUGGGAAAUGACGAUCAGCAUGCAUCUCAGGCCUUUGUCAUCGUUGCUGGAUAGGCUUCGGAACAAGACACACAGCUUCAGGCCAUCGAUGUCUGCUUCAAGUCUGCCGCCGUCGGAAACCUCCGGCCUUUAUACCCCCGGUGGACAGACACCCAACCCCCCGCCGGCUGUUUGUCACACUGAUUCAGAAAAAAUAGACUCCCAGCAGCCCCUCCUGCUGCUGCACAUGCCUCGCUGUGGAUGAACCCCCCCGGACACUGCAGACAACAACCUCCAAUCAGAACAAGCACAACAACAACACAGACAUUACAGACAAACACAACUGAGAAAUACAAAAUAGAAACACACAACAUGACCACUGUCUGUGUGUGUGUGUGUGUGUGUGUGUGUGUGUGUGUGUGUGCGCGCGUGCGUGUGUGUGUGUGUGCGUGUGUUACCACACACUAACACAGCACACUGUCCAGUAAACAGUCGGUCAUGUGGAGAGCAGCAGCAGCAGCUUGUGCAACAAACAGCUGCAUCAUCAUGGAACAAGACAUCUGAGCAACAACAACAAAAACAUCUGAGCAACAACAACAAAAACAUCUGAGCAACACUGAAACAAUAACAUUUUAGUAUUAAACAAUAUUAAGCAUUUUUUAAAAUGUUUUAUCUUGUUUCAUGAUGUUCAUUGUUAUUUGAUAUUGUUUACAUAUUGUUUCAUGUUGUGGUCAUGUUUUCAGAGAAUAAAUUCUUCAUGACAUUUCGGUUGAUUUGCUCUCAGCCUCCUCACAUCAGGUUACUGACGUCACUCGGUUUUGAGGACGGGAGGCUUGGCCUCAAGAGAUGCACAGGAGCCACCAGGUGUCACACUUCACCUGCUCUCAGCCCGGAGUCCUUGAAGAAAGUUCAGCAGAUGCAUUCACUCUAUGGAUCCUUGAGGAUGUUCCGGGACUGCUUCAAUAAGUUCAGGAUCCUUGAGGAUGUUCCGGGACUGCUUCAGGCCACCGUACAUCACAGACCGUCACCGGACUCUGUAACAACCAUAGACCCUGACGUCCGUCUCGUGAUGACGUCACACAGUCGUCCGUCUACUUCCUGCCUGUGGUCCCGCCAGAGGAAGUGAUGUGUUUGUGGUGUCAGUGAACCGUGAAGAGCAGGAAAACGACUCUCUGUAGACCUGGAUCAGGUCUGUAUCCUGAAACACAGACCAGCUGGUUCAAACACAAAGUGAAGUGGACUCUGAACGUUGGAACGACACAUCUGAUUGGCUGAAACGUGUCAUCGGGUCUGACAGGAGGGACUCCAGCCAAUCAGACGCUAUCGAUCAGUGUUGGCCUCUGACCUUCUGGAGCGUCUCAGUCUCCUCCUGGUCGUAUCUUCAUGUCCCUUCAAGUCUAAAAGUCUAAUAUUUUUUUUAAUGUGAUUAAUAUUUUACUGACGUCUGAUUGAGUUUGUCCGGUUUAGUCAAAUGUGUGUUGUUCCCUCUCUGUCGUCUGCAGGAACCUCGAUGGAAGGUGUGAGCAAUUUUUUGGUUCAUGUGUGUAUUUGUUUAUUCUCUGUGUAAUACCUGGAUGCCACAGUAGGUGGCACUCUGUACUGUGGGGUGCAGGAAAUUGAUAAAUUGAACAGCAGGUAAUUACUCAGCAGGUGUGCUGUUGACUGGGGGAAGCACACAGUUUUUGACCGUCGUCGUCUUUUUGUUGCAUUGUGGCAAACAUGUGAGCCUUUUGUCUUGAUUUGCAUUCAAGUUACAGAGUGAAUGUGAGUGUGUGCACAGUUCAGCGGAGGUCGCUUAUUUGUUAAGAGCGCAAAGUAUGAAUAAACAUUUGGUGACUGCAUAUGACGCUCAAGUGUUUCAUCCAUCCAUUGGACCCGGAAGACGAUGUGUCAACUACUACCAAGUACCAGUGCAGCAGCCCCUCGAGACACAAAAAUAAGUCAACAACUGCGCUUCGAUUAGAGGUUCGAGCCGUAUGGAAUAUGUCAACAACAGCCGUGUUUCCCGGAGUGACACCGAUCAUCAGCUGACUCAUCCGAAGAGGGACCACUACCACCGGACCGUCUCACGGCGCCCACCGCAUACAUUAAGUCAUAAUCAUCGUCAGCAGUGUGUCGACGUCCAGCUGCUCAGAGGGUGGAGAGACAAGAAGUGGAACAGGAAGUCCGACUUCAGGCGAGUCCUGUUUGUUUCAAGUUAAAACUUCUCAACAGUCCUAUUUUUUUACAUUGUAUUACUUUUAACUUUUUACAGCAUAUCUUCUUAUUUUAAUCGUUUGAUAUUUUUCAGCUUUUUAAAGUUGUUUUUAUUAUAUUAAAACUUUUGAAUACUUUCCAGGUGUCCAGGCUGAAGUCUGUGAAUACUUUUGGAUGAUUUAAGUGUUUGUCUGUUGGGCCGAGACACAUUCUUAUCACCAAACUUUAGUAAGUAAUAAAAACAGUCAAUGUUUAAGUUAAAUAAUUCAGUACAGAUUAAUAAAGUUUGAGCAUGUUUGAAUAUGCUAACGCUGCAGUUCAUUCAUGUGCCAGCAGGUGGCAGCAUUACACUGACAGACUCACCUGCAGGUCAUCAGUUCACUUGUUCAGACCUCGACGCUGCACAGCAUGACUCCCCCAAAACAAAACAUAAACCUAUUUGCACUUGUAUGUUUUUAUCUGUAGCACUUGCAUCACUGCACUGAUGAUGAUGAUGAUGAUGAUGAUGAUGAUGAUGAUGAUGAUGAUGUAUUGAACUGAAGAGGAAUGAUUUAAACUAGCUGGUCUUUAAAUGGAGUUAGGUGUGAAGUGUUUAUCUUAUUGCAGACAGAACUGACAAUAAUAAUCAUAAUCAUAAUAGACUUCAUCAUACAACACAGUGAUAGUUCUAGUCUGUAUAAAAUUAACAUUUAUUUUUUCAGUCACAUCAAUCUUUCUUCUUCUUGUAAUAAAUUCAUCAGUGAACUUUGUACACAGUGA